GCAUCCAGCGCAGCAGGCAGACACGUGGUCGCGUGAUCACGUGAUUAUCGUCAGGUGUCAAUCAUACGAACGUGAUGCUCCUGAGCCAUUUUGAUACCCUGCGUGAGGAACCAGGCGUGAUUUGCAAGCUUUGCUGGUUCACAGCAUCGUGGUGUUCAGGGACGCGUCCAUGUCGUUGUGUAUCUCUGUGUCACAUCUCAACGUGAUGUCCCAAAACAAUAUUACUUACCUCACGUGCAAUUUGCAGUUAAACGUCGACUAACCCCUAACGCUGUUUUGGCAGCGACAGUCUGUCACAUUCGUCUCUACAGGCAGUCCGAGAGCUCGGCCUAUAAAACAGCACACAGCAGGGUCGUAGUAUUGUCAGAAAUACUAAGUUUCAACAAUGGCAAGAUUCGUCUUCGUUUUUGUCCUGUUUGUGGCUCUGUUUGCCAACUACGGCGAGAGUUGUUGCUGUGGAAGCAGCAAGUCCUCCCACUCGUCCUCGUCCUCCUACCCCAUGUUCAUCCCCGUCCCCAUGUCUCACGGCAGCAGCGGCGGCGGCAGUCACACCAACUUCCUCCCCAUCAUCCUCACCACAGGCGGUUGAUCUGACAAGAGCGGAACUGUACGACCCCACCUGAAGUCCUCAUUGUCUGUUUUCUGGAGUUUUGUACCACGAAAUAAAAGUAUCCAAAGACA